rnacentral:snoRNA from 1 species
GUACAUAUGCAGUGGCUGCAGACAGCAGCUUCCUUUGUAGUGUGUGCAGCCUGUUUCUUGUAUGAGUUGCUCUAAGGGACCUUGGAGACAGGC